rnacentral:misc_RNA from 1 species
GAUGAAGAACGUAGCAAAAUGCGAUAAGUAAUGUGAAUUGCAGAAUUCAGUGAAUCAUCGAAUCUUUGAACGCACAUUGCGCCCGCCAGUAUUCUGGCGGGCAUGCCUGUUCGAGCGUCAUUUCAACCCUCAAGCACAGCUUGGUGUUGGGACUCGCGUUAAUUCGCGUUCCCCAAAUUGAUUGGCGGUCACGUCGAGCUUCCAUAGCGUAGUAGUAAAACCCUCGUUACUGGUAAUCGUCGCGGCCACGCCGUUAAACCCCAACUUCUGAAUGUUGACCUCGGAUCAGGUAGGAAUACCCGCUGAACAUAAGCAUAUCAAUAAGCGGAGGA